rnacentral:rRNA from 1 species
AGUGAACGCUGGCGGUAGGCCUAACACAUGCAAGUCGAACGGCAGCACAGUAAGAGCUUGCUCUUACGGUUGGCGAGUGGCGGACGGGUGAGGCAUACAUCGGAAUCUACUUUUUCGUGGGGGAUAACGUAGGGAAACUUACGCUAAUACCGCAUACGACCUACGGGUGAAAGCAGGGGAUCUUCGGACCCUGCGCGAUUGAAUGAGCCGAUGUCGGAUUAGCUAGUUGGCGGGGUAAAGGCCCACCAAGGCGACGAUCCGUAGCUGGUCUGAGAGGAUGAUCAGCCACACUGGAACUGAGACACGGUCCAGACUCCUACGGGAGGCAGCAGUGGGGAAUAUUGGACAAUGGGCGCAAGCCUGAUCCAGCCAUACCGCGUGGGUGAAGAAGGCCUUCGGGUUGUAAAGCCCUUUUGUUGGGAAAGAAAAGCAGCAGGUUAAUACCCCGCUGUUCUGACGGUACCCAAAGAAUAAGCACCGGCUAACUUCGUG